rnacentral:lncRNA from 1 species
CUUGCACGUUUCCAAAAGAUUCAGUCAGAGAAUCUUUGCCUUGGACGGAUACUCCAUAGGAGAAAACAGGAGAAAGUUGACACUUAACUCCCACAGAGUACCAGCAUAAAGACAAUGGCUUUAAGAGUCUGACUCAGAGUUUCAACAUGAAAGGUUUGCUUUAUAGAGGAAACGCCAAUCCCAGUCCAUCCAGAUAGACCUGGAACCUGAUGAAAGUCGACACCUUUAUUCUGAAAUUUGCAUCACAUCGCUGGCUCCAGUUUAGAAACAUGAUCGUUUCACAGGUAGUAUGCAUUUCAGCGAAUGCUGCCUCUAAACUACCCGUCAGGAAAAAUAAAAUCUAUAAGGUAAUCGUAGUCUAGGAGCCAUCAAUCCCCAAAUGCUUCUCUUAGAAAACGAAUGCCAACAAUUUAGCUAAACAUCUUCCUUGGAAGUGAGCCAUUUCCCAUGUCUCUCUGUUCUCCAAACCGCGAUGAAAUUUCAACCUGCCCAACACGAUUACUGGUCCACCUAGAAAUGCCGUGGAGCGAUUUAAGAGCCUCGGAAAUUUCCUUUAAGGUCAGGAGAGAAGCUGGUAACAGAUGGGGCGAAGGAGGAAAAGUUCUUUUUGCGGCACCCUCACGCCUUCCCAGCCCUUUCGCGGUUUACUCGCUCCCCGGAAAGCAGGGCAUUCAAGCAGCCCUGAGGAGAGGUCCACAUGGUGAGCCACUGAGGGCCUUGCCAAGAGCCAGCACCAACGGUCCAGGUUUGGAGUGUACCACCUUGGAAGUGAAUCUUCCAGUCCAGUCAAGCCUUCAGAUGACUUCAGAACCGUCCAUGUAAGCCACUCUUGGAUUCCUGACCCACAGAAACUGUUGGAGAACAUCACCUGUAGUCUUGCCAGUGAGAUCAAACUGAAGUCCAAUUAACCUCUGGAUCCAGCUGCCAAUUUGCAGGAAAUAGAGGAGAGAAGCAUCUGUUGAACUGCACCAUGAGUAUACACUCAGCAAAGGCCAAACUGUGGAAAAUGAUACAGGUCAAACAGCCUGGAUUCUUUAACAGUAAGUGAUGUUUCUGAAGCACCAAUGAAAAUGAAGUCCUGAAGUCCUGUGCUCAAUAUGAAAUGUUGGAAGUUAGAAGAAAAAAACAAAACUUGGAUCCAAUCUCAAGGCACUUUUUGUUUAAUGGGAAGAAGUGGAUUAUUUUAAAAGCUACAAAUAAAGUUACAUAAAAGUAGCAAAGUUGAUA